CGUUCCCGGGCCUUGUACACACCGCCCGUCACACCAUGGGAGUGGGUUUUACCAGAAGUAGUUAGCCUAACCGCAAGGAGGGCGAUUACCACGGCAGGGUUCGUGACUGGGGUG
rnacentral:rRNA from 1 species